rnacentral:rRNA from 1 species
AACCAGCACCUCAAGUGGUCAGGAUGAUUAUUGGGCCUAAAGCAUCCGUAGCCUGUUCUGUAAGUUUUCGGUUAAAUCUAUGCGCUCAACGUAUAGGCUGCCGGGAAUACUGCAGAGCUAGGGAGUGGGAGAGGUAGACGGUACUCGGUAGGAAGGGGUAAAAUCCUUUGAUCUAUUGAUGACCACCUGUGGCGAAGGCGGUCUACCAGAACACGUCCGACGGUGAGGGAUGAAAGCUGGGGGAGCAAACCGG